GCGGCAACAGCUCAAAUUUGAAAUCUGGUCCCCCCGCGGGGCCCGAGUUGUAAUUUGAAGAGGAUGCUUCUGGCAAGGUGCCGUCCGAGUUCCCUGGAACGGGACGCCGCAGAGGGUGAGAGCCCCGUACGGUCGGACGCCGAGCCUCUGUGAAGCUCCUUCGACGAGUCGAGUAGUUUGGGAAUGCUGCUCAAAAUGGGAGGUAAACCCCUUCUAAAGCUAAAUACCGGCCAGAGACCGAUAGCGCACAAGUAGAGUGAUCGAAAGAUGAAAAGCACUUUGAAAAGAGAGUUAAAAAGCACGUGAAAUUGUUGAAAGGGAAGCGCUUGCGACCAGACUCGCGCCCGUCGGAUCAGCCGUCGCUCGUCGGCGGCGCACUCCGGCGGGCUCGGGCCAGCAUCAGUUCGCCUCGGGGGGAGAAAGGCGGCGG
rnacentral:rRNA from 1 species